AUUGAACGCUGGCGGCGGGCCUAACACAUGCAAGUCGAGCGGAUGAAGGGAGCUUGCUCCUGGAUUCAGCGGCGGACGGGUGAGUAAUGCCUAGGAAUCUGCCUGGUAGUGGGGGAUAACGUCCGGAAACGGGCGCUAAUACCGCAUACGUCCUGAGGGAGAAAGUGGGGGAUCUUCGGACCUCACGCUAUCAGAUGAGCCUAGGUCGGAUUAGCUAGUUGGUGGGGUAAAGGCCUACCAAGGCGACGAUCCGUAACUGGUCUGAGAGGAUGAUCAGUCACACUGGAACUGAGCCACGGUCCAGACUCCUACGGGAGGCAGCAGUGGGGAAUAUUGGACAAUGGGCGAAAGCCUGAUCCAGCCAUGCCGCGUGUGUGAAGAAGGUCUUCGGAUUGUAAAGCACUUUAAGUUGGGAGGAAGGGCAGUAAGUUAAUACCUUGCUGUUUUGACGUUACCAACAGAAUAAGCACCGGCUAACUUCGUG
rnacentral:rRNA from 1 species